rnacentral:lncRNA from 1 species
UGAUAAAGUACGUCUGUCACACCAGGAAAUGUAAUGUUUCAAUUGCAUAUAGCAAGGAAGGUCAAUUUGACACAGCUGGGCUGCCAUUCGCCUCUCCCUUCUCCCGUGGAAAUGUGGUUGAUGUUUCUCAGAUCUUCAGGUUGGUGCCCCUGUUUGAUGAAACAUUUUAGUGAGAUUAUGUGGAUCUUUGGGGAAAUCUAUUUCUGCUUCUUGAUGGAAUUCUUUUCAUCCAGUAGUUAAGAAGCAAACAAAUGGCUUGAACAGUUCUCUUUGUACGAACAUAAUUAGCUCUCAUUUAGUACAUCAGCCAUCGCAGUUUCUUCCUCUUCUUCUUGGUGCUUAAUGACUGCGCAGGUUGCAUGACAAGUUUUCUUCCUGUGGAAGAUAUUGUGUAUCUUCCAUCUAGCAUCGUAAAAAGGCGGUCUUAGAUUGCUCUGUACUAAUGAUUGUCUCGAGGGAUUAUUUCAUUCAUACUGCUCUGAAUUAAUCAUACUCUCCUGCUACCUCAUUACCUCAGUAUGGUACAACUUUGCUAGCCAUUGUUUGUAUUUGUAGUACAAAUUGUAGAAUUAGGAUCCACCGACAUCUAUUUAC